rnacentral:rRNA from 1 species
UGGGGAAUCUUGCGCAAUGGCCGAAAGGCUGACGCAGCGACGCCGCGUGGGGGAUGAAGGCCUUCGGGUUGUAAACCCCUGUUGCUCGGGACGAACAACACCAUUCGUGGUGUCUGACGGUACCGGGUGAGGAAGCACCGGCUAACUCUGUGCCAGCAGCCGCGGUAAUACAGAGGGUGCGAGCGUUGUCCGGAAUCACUGGGCGUAAAGGGCGCGUAGGCGGUCUGGUAAGCGUGUGGUGAAAGCUCGGGGCUCAACCCCGAGUCGGCCGUGCGAACUGCUGGACUUGAGCAUGUCAGAGGCAGGCGGAAUUCCGGGUGUAGCGGUGGAAUGCGUAGAGAUCCGGAAGAACACCGGUGGCGAAGGCGGCCUGCUGGGACAUGGC